rnacentral:rRNA from 1 species
AAUCGAACUCGGAGAUAGCUGGUUCUCCUCGAAAUAGCUUUAGGGCUAGCCUUGAGGUAAAGUCUAAUGGAGGUAAAGCACUGAUUGGACGCGGGUCCCCAAAAGGAUACCAACUUCUAUCAAACUCAGAAUGCCAUAUAGAUAUACUCAGGAGUCAGACUAUGUGAGAUAAGUUUCAUAGUCAAAAGGGAAAGAGCCCAGACCGACAGCUAAGGUCCCAAAGUGUGUGUUAAGUGGAAAAGGAUGUUAGGUUUCUAAGACAACUAGGAUGUUGGCUCAGAAGCAGCCACUCAUUUAAAGAGUGCGUAACAGCUCACUAGUCGAGAGGUCUAGCGCCGAAAAUGUCCGGGGCUAAAACACACCACCGAAGCUACGGAAUUACCUAUGGUAAUUGGUAGAGGAGCAUUCUGUAAGGACGAAGCACAAUUGAAAGAGAGUGUGGACGAAACAGAAGAGAGAAUGCCGGAAUGAGUAGCGAGAUAUAUGUGAGAAUCAUAUAGGUCGAAUGUCUAAGGUUUCCUGGGUAAAGCUGAUCUGCUCAGGGUAAGUCGGGACCUAAGGUGAGGGCGAGAGCCGUAAUCGAUGGACAACAGGUAGAAAUUCCUGUACUACGUAUAAUCAGAACUGUGGGGACGCAGGAGGAUAGGAAAACCGGAGAAUGGAAAUAUCCGGCUAAGUACAAAGGUGUGAGUGAUAGGCAAAUCCGUCACUAUAAGCUGAAGUACGAAUGGGAGCGAAGAAAAGUAGCGAAGUUUCUGAAUCCACACUGUCAAGAAAAGCCGCUAUUGCGUUAUACGUACCCGUACCGCAAACCGACACAGGUAGACGAGGAGAAAAUCCACAGACCGACGGGAGAAGUGUUGUUAAGGAACUCGGCAAAAUGACCCCGUAACUUAGGGAUAAGGGGAGCCAACGCAAGUUGGUCACAGAAAAGAGGCUCAAGCGACUGUUUAGCAAAAACAUAGGUCUAUGCGAAACCGUAAGGUGAUGUAUAUGGGCUGACACCUGCCCGGUGCUGGAAGGUCAAAAGGAGAGGUUAGCGUAAGCGAAGCUUUGAAUUCAAGCCCCAGUAAACGGCGGCCGUAACUAUAACGGUCCUAAGGUAGCGAAAUUCCUUGUCAGGUAAGUUCUGACCCGCACGAAAGGUGUAACGAUUUGAGCACUGUCUCGACAACACGCCCGGUGAAAUUGAAGAACCAGUGAAGAUACUGGUUACCCGCAACAGGACGGAAAGACCCCAUGGAGCUUUACUGCAGCUUAAUAUUGGGAUUCGGUAUUGUAUGUACAGGAUAGGAGGGAGACUAAGAAGCUAGCACGCCAGUGUUGGUGGAGUCGAUGGUGGGAUACCUCUCUUAUAAUACUGAAUUUCUAACCUACUUCCGUGAUCCGGAAGAGGGACAUUGUUAGGCGGGCAGUUUGACUGGGGCGGUCGCCUCCGAAAGAGUAACGGAGGCGCUCAAAGGUCUUCUCAGAAUGAUUGGAAACCAUUCAAAGAGUGUAAAGGCAAAAGAAGGCUUGACUGCGAGAGUGACAACUCGAGCAGGUACGAAAGUAGGACUUAGUGAUCCGGUGGUAACAAGUGGGAGUGCCAUCGCUUAACGGAUAAAAGCUACCCUGGGGAUAACAGGCUUAUCUCCCCCAAGAGUUCACAUCGACGGGGAGGUUUGGCACCUCGAUGUCGGCUCAUCGCAUCCUGGGGCUGUAGUAGGUCCCAAGGGUUGGGCUGUUCGCCCAUUAAAGCGGUACGCGAGCUGGGUUCAGAACGUCGUGAGACAGUUCGGUCCCUAUCCGUUGUGGGCGUAGGAAAUUUGAUAGGAGCUGUCCUUAGUACGAGAGGACCGGGAUGGACGAACCUCUGGUGAAUCUGUUGGUAACCAAUGCCACAGCAGAAUAGCCAAGUUUGGAACGGAUAAACGCUGAAGGCAUCUAAGCGUGAAGCCAACCUAAAGACUAGAUUUCCCAUGCGAAAGCAGUAAGACUCCUUGUAGACGACAAGGUUGAUAGGCCAGAGAUGUAAGCACAGUAAUGUGUUCAGUUGACUGGUACUAAUAAGUCGAGGGCUUGACCAA